rnacentral:rRNA from 1 species
AUGAACGCUGGCGGCGUGCCUCAUCCAUGCCAGUCGAGCGAACGGACGAGAAGCUUGCUUCUCUGAUGUUAGCGGCGGACGGGUGAGUAACACGUGGAUAACCUACCUAUAAGACUGGGAUAACUUCGGGAAACCGGAGCUAAUACCGGAUGAUAUUUUGAACCGCAUGGUUCAAAAGUGAAAGACGGUCUUGCUGUCACUUAUAGAUGGAUCCGCGCUGCAUUAGCUAGUUGGUAAGGUAACGGCUUACCAAGGCAACGAUGCAUAGCCGACCUGAGAGGGUGAUCGGCCACACUGGAACUGUGCCACGGUCCGGACUCCUACGGGAGGCAGCAGUAGGGAAUCUUCCGCAAUGGGCGAAAGCCUGACGGAGUAACGCCGCGUGAGUGAUGAAGGUCUUCGGAUCUUAAAACUCUGUUAUUAGGGAAGAACAUAUGUGUAAGUAACUGUGCACAUCUUGACGGUACCUAAUCAGAAAGCCACGGCUAACUACGUG